UGAGGGGUCAACAGUUUCUAUCUCUCUUUUUUAGCUCUUACUCUCUAUCUCCUACCUGUGUGUUUGGUCAUAUCAAUGAGUGGGAAGGCAGUGUGUGCAGCGUUCAAUGCACCCUCCACCACAGCCUAUGGCGAGCCUACGAAGCUGUAGACUGUACGGUUGGUGGAGGAUCCAGGGUCCACGUCGAGCAGACUGCAUCCCUCCGUGCUGGAAAUGGCCUCUGCUAUUGCAUCAAUCACCUGGAGGUAAUCCACUUUCUGUAUCUCCCAUGCCUACUCACCUUUUUGUUCCGACCCUCGGAGAAGUUGGGCACACACUCCACCAGCUUAGCCAUGAUGCGUAAUAAUCACAGAGUCGGGUAAUCCGAGACAAGGAAUCAGACCAAUUUAAGGCAUACGUUUAUUCCCCCUUUCUCUCUGCUCCAAAAGCACACACCAACCCAUCCAGUCAGUCUCUUCAACCCCAAACGGGACAUUUAAGCAGUCUGUCCAUCUGUAACGCUGGUUGAAUCAUUAACUUGCUCUAUUGUCCUCUUAUCUAGGGCAGCUGGCAGUGAUUCACCAGGCUGCUCUAGUCUAAUAUUUACCAGGACCUGGUGCGGAUUGUGCCAGCCUCCCAUGCAACAUUCACAGACACAAAUCCCUGAUUCACCAUAGGUUAGACUUAAAUACUGGAGCACCAGAUGCGAAGGGUGAAGGAAUAAAUCCAGUAUGAUCAAAGGAAGUAUCCAAGCUGACAGACGGAUAGCUGGUGAACUCUCCACUCUAGCUGUUACCUCUGCGUUCUCACCACAGCCAUAGUAAACACUUGGCUAAGUCCUAUUAGAUGAUAUCUCAGGAUCAGAGAUGGCAAUUUCAAUAAUUAUGAUUGAAAUGUGAAGUGGUGCACAGAUCUAGCCCCACCGCUGCAUUACGAUAUUGCAUUCAUUGUGUAUUCAUCUCUUGUAUUUAUGGUAUGCAGAGUUUCUGAACAUUUUGGUACCAGUAACACUGUUUCCUAAAUAGUACACAAAAUAUGCACCAUCACUAAUAUGAUUUGUUAAAUCUGAAUCAAAGAGCUUCAUGUUGGUUAUUAUUGGCUAUGGCAGUAGUGACUCUUUUAUAGCCUCUGUGACCUUUGAUCCAAAGGAUUAAACAGUCUAUAAUGGUCAAACAUACUCAGCAGUCAGCAUUGAUCUAGGUGAUCAAAGCAUUACUCAGCUAAGUAGCAGUCAAGCAGGCCGAUUCUUAUUAUCCACAUUGACAGGUCAACUAGUUUGUUUUUAUACAGAUGUAUCCUACUGCUUUGGUCUUGUUAUGCUGAAGAUGCAACCACUGAGGCUAUAGGCUGUGCUAUCCAGCCCAGUGUUUCUGAAACCUUUUUCUGUGCUGGGGACUGUGUUCUAGCCAACUGUUGAAGGAUUAACUAACAUCAAUUGCUUUUACACCUGCAUUGUUUGCUGUUUGGGGUUUUAGGCUGGGUUUCUGUACAGCACUUUGAGAUAUCAGCUGAUGUACGAAGGGCUAUAUAAAUACAUUUGAUUUGAUUUGAUCAAUUAAUGAACACCUGUCUAUGGUUGCAUCACAUCAUCCUCCCCCAAAACAAACAAAUACAGUUGGCUGGACUGGUUAAUGAGUAAUGCUACAGAGGGGAUCUGGAUGGAUUGAGCUGCUUUUUUAGAACUGGGCACUAAACAGACAAAUAUUUGAGCGUUUAUUGGUGCAGUGGAACACUCCUACUACCUGGUCCUAUUGGCAUACAUUAACUUCAAUGCCUAUGAAUAAAACAGAUCAUUGUUGAAAUAAAAUGAAAGUCUAA